UUUUGGAGGGCAAGUCUGGUGCCAGCAGCCGCGGUAAUUCCAGCUCCAAUAGCGUAUAUUAAAGUUGUUCCAGUUAAAAAGCUCGUAGUUGAAUUUCGGGAUCACUAUGUCGGUCGUGCUUCGGUACGUAGUGUCAUUACUGGUUUCUCCCUUCUGAAGAACCAUGAUGUCAUUAAUUUGAUGUUCCUUGGGAAUUCAGGAC
rnacentral:rRNA from 1 species